GACGAAGUCUGACCGAGCACGCCGCGUGAGUGAAGAAGGUUUUCGGAUCGUAAAACUCUGUUGUUAGAGAAGACAGGGAUGAGAGUAACUGUUCGUCCCUUGACGGUAUCUAACCAGAAAGCCACGGCUAACUACGUGCCAGCAGCCGCGGUAAUACGUAGGUGGCAAGCGUUGUCCGGAUUUAUUGGGCGUAAAGCGAGCGCAGGCGGUUUCUUAAGUCUGAUGUGAAAGCCCCCGGCUCAACCGGGGAGGGUCAUUGGAAACUGGGAGACUUGAGUGCAGAAGAGGAGAGUGGAAUUCCAUGUGUAGCGGUGAAAUGCGUAGAUAUAUGGAGGAACACCAGUGGCGAAGGCGGCUCUCUGGUCUGUAACUGACGCUGAGGCUCGAAAGCGUGGGGAGCAAACAGGAUAGAUACCCUGGUAGUCCA
rnacentral:rRNA from 1 species